rnacentral:siRNA from 1 species
UUGGCCGAACCGACAGACAACCAC